GACGAACGCUGGCGGCGUGCCUAAUACAUGCAAGUAGAACGCUGAAGGAGGAGCUUGCUCUUCUGGAUGAGUUGCGAGCGGGUGAGUAACGCGUAGGUAACCUGCCUGGUAGCGGGGGAUAACUAUUGGAAACGAUAGCUAAUACCGCAUAAGAGUAGAUGUUGCAUGACAUUUACUUAAAAGGUGCAAUUGCAUCACUACCAGAUGGACCUGCGUUGUAUUAGCUAGUUGGUGGGGUAACGGCUUACCAAGGCGACGAUACAUAGCCGACCUGAGAGGGUGAUCGGCCACACUGGGACUGAGACACGGCCCAGACUCCUACGGGAGGCAGCAGUAGGGAAUCUUCGGCAAUGGACGGAAGUCUGACCGAGCAACGCCGCGUGAGUGAAGAAGGUUUUCGGAUCGUAAAGCUCUGUUGUAAGAGAAGAACGAGUGUGAGAGUGGAAAGUUCACACUGUGACGGUAUCUUACCAGAAAGGGACGGCUAACUACGUG
rnacentral:rRNA from 1 species